rnacentral:rRNA from 1 species
AGAGAGAGACAUGCGCGCAUAUCAAUAAGCGGAGGAAAAGAAACUAACAAGGAUUCCCUUAGUAACGGCGAGUGAAGCGGGAAGAGCUCAAAUUUGAAAUCUUCAAGGUUCUACCUUGACGAAUUGUAGUUUAUAGAAGUGUUUUCUGUUAGCUGGAGUGGCAAAAGUUCUUUGGAAUAGGACAUCAUAGAGGGUGAGAAUCCCGUAUUUGGUCAUUCCUCCUAGCGUUGUGAUACACUUUCAACGAGUCGGAUUGUUUGGGAAUGCAGGUCCAAAAUGGGUGGUAAAUUUCAUCUAAAGCUAAAUAUUGGCGAGAGACCGAUAGCGAACAAGUACCGUGAGGGAAAGAUGAAAAGAACUUUGAAAAGAGAGUUAAACAGUACGUGAAAUUGUCAAAAGGGAAGCGUUUGACACCAGUGUUGUUUUUCCGAAAAUCAAUUACGAAUGUUUUGUUUUUGAGGAGUUAUGACUUCAUCGGCUUGCUCCUUUCUUUACGAAACUUUCUUAAUGCACUUUUCGGUUAACAAGUCAACAUCAAUUUCUUUUGUUGUAAAAGGGUAUGAGGAAGGUGGCUUUCUUUUCGGAGAAAGUGUUUAUAGCCUUGUGCCUCUGCAAUCGGAGAGAUUGAGGUCUGCAGCGUAGAUCCUUCGGGGUUAGAUACGUUUGUGCUAAGUUAUAGCUUUUCAUAGACAACUUGUUGACUAUGUUUAGUCUUGUAGCUUACUCGCUGACGCUAUUUUACCUACGCUUAGGAUGUUGAUAGUCACAGCGUGUAC